GGCUAUCUCUUUGAUUUGUGUUGGGUUAUACACCAUCCUUUCUUCAUUUAGUGCAAAUUAGAGCUUUUCUUGAAGCCAAGAAAUCUGUUCGGGAGUGAUAAAUUAUCGCUUUUAGGCGAGUUAUCUCUUGAAAACGUUAUUCGUCUCUUCAUCGAGAGAUUAAUUCUCCCAGUGGCCAGAUAGGAACAUAGAGCUUUGUCCGCCGUCCACCUUCUCCGCUUGGCUCAAA
rnacentral:misc_RNA from 1 species